rnacentral:rRNA from 1 species
CAAUAGCGUAUAUUAAAGUUGUUGCGGUAAAAAAGCUCGUAGUUGGAUUUCUGUUGCGAAUGGCCGGUCUUCACUACGUGAAUGUAUCUGGUUCAAUCGUGGCAUCCUCAUGGGAAACGUUGCUGCGCUUCACUGCGUGGUACGGUGCCCAUGACUUUUACUUUGAGGAAAUUAGAGUGUUCACGGCAGGCAUACGCCCUGAAUAUGUUAGCAUGGAAUAAUAAUAUAGGAUCUUGGUUCUAUUUUGUUGGUUUCUAGAGCUAAGAUAAUGGUUAAUAGGAACAAUUGGGGGCAUUUGUAUUAACAUGUCAGAGGUGGAAUUCUUGGAUUAUGUUACGACAAACUACUGCGAAAGCAUUUGCCAAGGAUGUUUUCAUUGA